CCAAGUCGAGCCUUGCUUGCUUUGGGUGAGAGUGGCGUAACGGGCUCGAGUAACACGUGAGUCAACCUGCCCCCUUCUUUCGGGAUAACGACCAGACAAUGGUUGCAUAAUACUGCAAUAUUCACGCAUUGUCGCAUGGUGGUGUGUGGAUAAGGUUUUUCUGGUGGCGGGAUGGUGCUCGCGGCCUAUCAGCUCUGUUGGUGGGGUGAUGGCCUACUCAAGGCUAUUGACGGGUAGCCGGCCUGAGAGGGUGACCGGUCACACUGGGACUGAGAUACGGCCCAGACUCCUACGGGAGGCAGCAGUGGGGAAUAUUGCACAAUGGGCGAAAGCCUGAUGCAGCGACGCCGCGUGAGGGAUGACGGCCUUCGGGUUGUAAACCUCUUUCAGUAAGGACGCAGGCCUAGGCUUUUGUUUGGGUUGACUUUACUUACAGAAGAAGCGCCGGCUAACUACGUGCCAGCAGCCGCGGUAAUACGUAGGGCGCAAGCGUUGUCCGGAAUUAUUGGGCGUAAAGAGCUCGUAGGCGGUUUGUCGACGUCUGUCAGUGAAAACCCACAGGCUUAACUGUGGGCUUGCGGUGGGUACAGGGCAGGCUUGAGUGCGGUAGGGGAGACUGGAAUUCCUGGUGUAGCGGUGGAAUGCGCAGAUAUCAGGAGGAACACCGGUGGCGAAGGCGGGUCU
rnacentral:rRNA from 2 species